AGUAGCGUAGUCUCAGUUGGAAGAGCGUCGGGCUCAUGACCCGAAGGUCGGAGGUUCAAUCCCUCUCGCUGCUA
rnacentral:tRNA from 1 species